GGGGAAUUUUGGACAAUGGGGGCAACCCUGAUCCAGCCAUGCCGCGUGAGUGAAGAAGGCCUUCGGGUUGUAAAGCUCUUUCGGCCGGGAAGAAAUCGUGCAGGCUAAUACUCUGUAUUGAUGACGGUACCGGAAUAAGAAGCACCGGCUAACUACGUGCCAGCAGCCGCGGUAAUACGUAGGGUGCGAGCGUUAAUCGGAAUUACUGGGCGUAAAGCGUGCGCAGGCGGUUUUGUAAGACAGGCGUGAAAGUCCCCGGGCUCAACCUGGGAACUGCGCUUGUGACUGCAAGACUAGAGUACGGCAGAGGGGGGUGGAAUUCCUGGUGUAGCAGUGAAAUGCGUAGAUAUCAGGAGGAACACAGAUGGCGAAGGCAGCCCCCUGGGCCUAUACUGACGCUCAUGCACGAAAGCGUGGGGAGCAAACA
rnacentral:rRNA from 1 species